rnacentral:rRNA from 1 species
CGCGUAGGCGGUGCGGUAAGUCACCUGUGAAACCUCCGGGCUUAACUCGGAGCCUGCAGGCGAAACUGCCGUGCUGGAGUGUGGGAGAGGUGCGUGGAAUUCCCGGUGUAGCGGUAAAAUGCGUAGAUAUCGGGAGGAACACCUGUGGCGAAAGCGGCGCACUGGACCACAACUGACGCUGAGGCGCGAAAGCUAGGGGAGCAAACAGGAUUAGAUACCCUGGUAGUCCUAGCCCUAAACGAUGGAUGCUUGGUGUAGCAGGUACCCAAUCCUGCUGUGCCGCAGCUAACGCGAUAAGCAUCCCGCCUGGGGAGUACGGUCGCAAGGCUGAA